ACCUCAAAUGAGAGAGAAACCCCAGCUUUAUCCGAUUGAGCCAUGAUCUCUGUGUUCAUUCUUACCUUUAUGAUGAUCUUCAUGCUGAGACCAACAGAAGCACAGGCAGUGACUCAGCCUGAAAACCAGGUCUCUGUCUCUGAAGGGUCUCCAGUGGAGUUGAAAUGCACCUAUUCCUAUUCUGGGAACCCUUUUCUCUCCUGGUAUGUCUGGUAUCCCCACCAGGAGCUUCAAGUCCUCCUGAGACAUACUUCAGGGGAAAGCAACAAAGGUUUUCAGGCCAAACUCAACAAGGAUGAAACCUCCUACCAUCUGAGGAAACCCCGUGUUCAAGAGGAAGACUCAGCUGUGUACUUCUGUGUUCUGAGUGACACAGUGGGAGGUCUCACCUGGGGAGCUCAACACAAACCUGCAGAGACAAUCUUUGAAAUGGUCCUCUAA